CAGCCGCCACGGGAAUACGUAGGUGGCGAGCGUUGUCCGGAAUCAUUGGGCGUAAAGGGAGCGCAGGCGGGCAUGUAAGUCUUUCUUAAAAGUUCGGGGCUCAACCCCGUGAUGGGAAAGAAACUAUAUGUCUUGAGUACAGGAGAGGAAAGCGGAAUUCCCAGUGUAGCGGUGAAAUGCGUAGAUAUUGGGAGGAACACCAGUGGCGAAGGCGGCUUUCUGGACUGCAACUGACGCUGAGGCUCGAAAGCCAGGGGAGCGAACGGGAUUAGAUACCCCUGUAGUCCCUGUCUCUUAUACC
rnacentral:rRNA from 1 species